rnacentral:misc_RNA from 1 species
GCACCUUAGAAGCAGAAUAUGAUUUCAAUCAUCGAUGACCAAUAGAAACAUUAAACCAUGGGAAAUACAGCUCAUAAAUUUAGAAUCCCCGUUAGACAGAUUAAGUAUAUGAGAUACUAUCAAGAGAUGUGGUGGAACAGAUUACUAUCAAGACAUGUGAUGGAACAGGUGAUUCUCCCUCAACCCUUAACUAGAGGUUUCAUGAUCAAGCUCUGAAAAUGGAGAAAUUGCUGGUAGAGAGCAUUUCCUCCUUUAAUGGGCCCUAUGCAGGCCAAAUUCAAAUUAUAUAUAA